rnacentral:rRNA from 1 species
CCCUUAGAUGUCCUGGGCCGCACGCGCGCUACACUGACGGAGCCAGCGAGCUUACCCCUUUGCCGAAAGGCAUGGGAAAUCUUUUGAAUCUCCGUCGUGCUGGGGAUAGAUCAUUGCAAUUAUUGAUCUUGAACGAGGAAUUCCUAGUAGGCGCAAGUCAUCAGCUUGCGUCGAUUACGUCCCUGCCCUUUGUACACACCGCCCGUCGCUCCUACCGAUUGGGUGUGCUGGUGAAAUGUUCGGAUCGGCCGUUUGUCGCGGUUUCCGCGGCUCGUGGCUGAGAAGUUCAUUAAACCCUCCCACCUAGAGGAAGGAGAAGUCGUAACA